GACGAUAUGGCUGAUGUGCUGACCAUGGGCUGUAUCAGACACGCCAGUCACACUCACAAUGGUGGCCCGCGGCUCAGGCUCAAACCUUGGCAGCCCCAGGGCUCCGGAGAACAUGGCCUGGCCCCCUGGGUACCUGUGGCCCCCAAUAGCACCAUGAGUCCAGAGACGGAGAUGAGCGCCGCGUACUUGAGCCACAGCGAGUGAGAGGCGUAGAAGAAGUAGAUGAUGACGCACACCAAGUUCUCCGUCACCGUCACCACGUAGAAGGCACAAACACAUAGUUGCUGGCGACAUCUGGUAAGGAUGAAUAUACCCCACUAAGACACAAUCAAUUCUAGACUGCAGAUGAGGGCAGGAGCUUCUUAUCUCAACAUUUCAUAACAAUCAAAAUGCC